GCGUUUGUAGCUUAAUUGGACAGAGCAUUAGACUACGAAUCUAGGGGUUGAAAGUUCAAGUCUUUCCAAACGUA
rnacentral:tRNA from 1 species